GUGCUUACACAUGCAAGUCGAGUGCGCGCCCGUAGCAAUACGGGUGGCGCACGGCGCACGGGUGCGUAACACGUGGGUAACCUGCCCUUUGAUGGGGAAUAACCCCGCGAAAGCGGGGCUAAUUCCGCAUAAGAUCCGCAAGGAUGAAAGCCGAAAGGCGUCGAAGGAGGGGCCUGCGCACGAUUAGCUAGUUGGUAGGGUAACGGCCUACCAAGGCUUUGAUCGUUAGCUGGUCUGAGAGGAUGGCCAGCCACACUGGAACUGAGACACGGUCCAGACUCCUACGGGAGGCAGCAGUGGGGAAUCUUGCACAAUGGGCGAAAGCCUGAUGCAGCGACGCCGCGUGGGGGAUGAAGCUUCUCGGAGUGUAAACCCCUUUCGACCCGGACGAAUACCUCGCAAGAGGGGUGACAGUACGGGUAUAAGAAGCCCCGGCUAACUACGUGCCAGCAGCCGCGGUAAGACGUGGGGGGCCAGCGUUGCUCGGAAUUAC
rnacentral:rRNA from 1 species